UAGGAAAGCACAUGGUGACGUCUGAUCUCCCAGCUUCUGGUUUCAAAAUGGCUUUCUCUGGGGCAUUUUCUUUUGUAGCUUUUCUGAGCUCUCUCCAAAACAUCUCUGCCUUCUGUCCUCUCGUAGAGGACCCCAGCAAGGGGAUUAAGACGCAUCUCAAAUGGGCAGGGUCACCUCUCCAUGGAAACAACCUAAUGAAAAGGUCUUACCCACAAUAAGUCUGCCCCAAGAUUUGAUUAAAAGCACAUAGGCUUUCCUGCGGAUACGUAACAGAUCCAAACCAGUAUAUACACCAAGGAAAGAAAAUUUAAGCCAAGGAGUUUAUAUCCAGCAAAACUAACUUCAAGUUUAGCCAGAGUCAACCUGUUAUCAACAAGCAUGAACUGAGAGACCAUUGUUCCCAUGAACACUUCUGAAAGAACCUACCAGAAAACAAGCCUUAGACAUCCAAAAUGACUUGAGAAAUAUCAAUCUAAGGACUGGAGGUAUCCGUAUAAGAGAGAAGCAGAAGAUCUGACUAUAGACAGAAGAGUAGAAGACUAUAUGAUGGAAGCAAAAGGAAGCAGAGUCAGAGAGAAGACAACAUAUUGCUGAUUUGGAAGAUGGAGGAAGGGGCCAUGAGCCAAGGAAUGCAGUAGUAAACUCUAGAUCCUGAAACAGGCAAGAAAACAGAUUCUUCCCUAGAGCAUCUGUUGAGACCUUGAUUUAAACUCUGUGAGACAUAUUUCAGACUUCUAGCCUUCAGAACUAUAAGAGAAUGAAUGUUGUUUUAAACCACCAAGUUUUUGGUAAUUUGUUACAGCAGACAUAGGAAACUAAUAUAGUUACAAAUCAUUAUCUUAAAAAUCUAAAAAAAGGAAAGAAGCAAAUAUUUAUCCCACCCUUCCUAAAUGAACUGUACCACUUGGUAAAUAUUAGAUGUGGGAUUGUCUUCUUAUAAAAUUAUUCCAGGUAAUAAAUUAAAACACCAGGAUUUCACUAUUUUGCAACUGCAAAUGAACUAGUGAAUCUAGGCAUUGAGUACCAAUGGCUGCUAACAUCAAAAUAGAAUGAAAACAAGUUAUUAAGUGUCUUCAGAUGAAAGAACAAUAAUUUGGUCUUGCCAAAGAAAUGACUUCUGGAUGCUGCAGUUUUCAGUAAACAGAGAAAACAGAAGAACGUAUUGAACUGCACUAUGAUACAGAAUCAGCAAAAGCCAGAUUUUCAGUAUCUCAAAAGGUCACACAGCUCAGUUCUUCAAAUGAUAAAUAGUAAGGAAAAGAAUGGGAUGGGGGGACACCUGGAUAUUAAAAGAGACUUAAAAGGCAAUUCAAGUUAAUAAACUAAAGUAUCUGGGGAUGCCGUCUUGGAUGAUAAAACUAUAAAAUAUACAACAAAGUGAUUGUAAAAGUCAUAAUAUUGGAUAUGAGUAGGGGGCUUUCUGGAAUGGCUAGCAAAGCCAGGAUUAUAGUUACAAGGGUAUUUAACUUUAUAAUGAUUUACUAAGCUACAUUUGUUUCUGUGUUUUUCUGUAACUUUUACAAUAAAAAGAUUAAAAAUGAAA